CUCCCCUUAUUAGACAUUCUCUUCUUAUAUCUAGGAACGUAAAUUGCUACCUGGAUGUGCUACUUUCUCUCUUUCCCGUCUUCCGGGGCGCAUAGUAGUUUGGCGUGGAUCACAACUUGGCUGGUGAAGCCGCCAUCAAGUGAAUGCUCUCACGAGUAAGCCGUGUUGUCGGAGCUAACGCAGCUUCCCCUCCCUCUCCCUCAACUUGAUGGUCAGGAACGAAAUCUUUUUAACUUGAUAUACGAAGUCGGCCGGCAUCACCAAGUGUCUCCACGCCACACGCGGCUGCUGUUCUGUCUCUUAAGAAGUUUAUUGCGUCCUCUUCAACCCUCGGGUUGACGCUGGGGUCAUUGUGUAACCUACUGGUUGUUGGUCCUGUCCUGGUAUUGUUUGUCGUACCAGUUGGGAUUGAUUGUGCAUGGGAUUCAUUUUGACUUAUCUGCAUAAUGCAUGUUUAGGGCUGUCUGGCCGUGUGGUGCAUGCUUUGCAUGUUUGAUUGCUUGCUUCUCUGUGUAUUUGCAUGUGGUUUAUUAUGUUCUUCUCCUGUGCCUUUCCUUUUUGUUCCCUGUUAAUGCAUGUUUAGAGCUGCUUUGCGCUGCAUGCACAUUUGAGUAUUUGCGGGGUUAACUCACCUGUAUCUUACAGCCCCUUAAUUGUGGUGUUGCAUUGUGGGAACUGCUGUGCAUGUGUGUGGUUGUUAGUGGUGUGUGAGCGUGUAUUUGUGUGCAGUAACGUUAUUCCCCCCAUCGCCGUGACCAGGGCGGUUGCACUGCUCCAGCUUGACCUCUGGGGCCGUCAACAUCUGUGGGACGGCCAUUCCAGCCCCACAGCUCAAAAGCUAAGUACAACCAUACCAGCUAACACUAAGUUAGUGUGAUUGUGCUACCCACAGUUCUUACCAUAGUCUCUCCCCCUCUCUCCCUUGUUCUCCUUUGGACAGGUGCGGUGUGGUCCAAGCGAGUGGCAGGCUCACCCUCAGGUGGUGGGGUCCCUUCACGUUUCCUGUAGCACACCUCGGGUGUCAAUCCUUAGCUUUGGAGUGCAGUGAUUGCAGUGUGAUUCUCACGUGUGAUGUGUGGGUGUCUUCUGGACCGCUUCCCCCUCCUGUAGUCCUGCCGGUCGUGGUAAGCCCUCGCCCUGCUCCGUUUUCCCUUUUCUUGAGAUUGCCCAUAGACCUUGUGUGCAGCUGACGUGCAGCCUCGCUGGUCACCGUAUGUACGGUAUGGUGUGUAUGUGUGUUGUGUCUCAUACUGGUAUCUUUCAGGGGAAUUGCUGAGACAUUUCCUCAG